GCCUUCGUGGUGUAGCGGUCAGCACGCUCGACGCGUGACCGAGAGGUCCGUGGUUCGAUUCCCGUCGAAGGCG
rnacentral:tRNA from 1 species